GACAGAGUGAGGGAGAGGGUGACUGGUGACAGAGUGAGGGAGGGGAUGACUAGUGACAGAGUUAAGGAGGGAGUGACUAGUGACAGAGGAAGGGAUGGGGUGACUAGUGACAGUCACCCCUUCCUCACUCGGUCACUGUGUCAGCCCCUUCCUCGCUCUGUCACUAGUCACCCCCUCUCUCACUCUGUCACCAGUCAUUCCCUCACUCUGUCAUCAGUCAUCCAUUCCUUCCCUCACUCUGCCACUAGUCAUCCCUUCCCUCACUCUGUC